ACUCUAAGCGGUGGAUCACUCGGCUCAUGGGUCGAUGAAGAACGCAGCAAACUGUGCGUCAUCGUGUGAACUGCAGGACACAUGAACAUCGACAUUUUGAACGCAUAUCGCAGUCCAUGCUGUUAUGUACUUUAAUUAAUUUUAUAGUGCUGCUUGGACUACAUAUGGUUGAGGGUUGUAAGACUAUGCUAAUUAAGUUGCUUAUAAAUUUUUAUAAGCAUAUGGUAUAUUAUUGGAUAAAUAUAAUAAUUUUUAUUCAUAAUAUUAAAAAAUAAAUGAAAAACAUUAUCUCACAUUUGAAUGUGAAAAACGAAGAGAAAUAUUUUCUUUUUCAAUCAAAUAAUACUGAGAAAUGUCUAGCAUAAAAAAUUGAAAUAUUUUUCAUCUAGAAUUGUCUCUUAUUAAUGAUUCGGAAAUAGAAAAAUCUUGGUUAUGUUAUUAUUCUUCGUUGGUUCGUUAAAAAUGGAUAAAUAAAAACUUUGCAUACAAGAAUUAAUAAAAAUGUUAUAACGAAUUUAAUUAAAUGUUUUAUCAUUAUAUAUAAAGAAUUUAUGGCAAGAUAAAGUUAUAUACAACCUCAACUCAUAUGGGACUACCCCUGAAUUUAAGCAUAUUAAUUAGGGGAGGAAAAGAAACUAACAAGGAUUUUCUUAGUAGCGGCGAGCGAAAAGAAAACAGUUCAGCACUAAGUCACUUUGUCUAUAUGGCAAAUGUGAGAUGCAGUGUAUGGAGCGUCAAUAUUCUAGUAUGAGAAAUUAACGAUUUAAGUCCUUCUUAAAUGAGGCCAUUUACCCAUAGAGGGUGCCAGGCCCGUAUAACGUUAAUGAUUACUAGAUGAUGUUUCCAAAGAGUCGUGUUGCUUGAUAGUGCAGCACUAAGUGGGUGGUAAACUCCAUCUAAAACUAAAUAUAACCAUGAGACCGAUAGUAAACAAGUACCGUGAGGGAAAGUUGAAAAGAACUCUGAAUAGAGAGUUAAACAGUACGUGAAACUGCUUAGAGGUUAAGCCCGAUGAACCUGAAUAUCCGUUAUGGAAAAUUCAUCAUUAAAAUUGUAAUAUUUAAAUAAUAUUAUGAGAAUAGUGUGCAUUUUUUCCAUAUAAGGACAUUGUAAUCUAUUAGCAUAUACCAAAUUUAUCAUAAAAUAUAACUUAUAGUUUAUUCCAAUUAAAUUGCUUGCAUUUUAACACAGAAUAAAUGUUAUUAAUUUGAUAAAGUGCUGAUAGAUUUAUAUGAUUACAGUGCGUUAAUUUUUCGGAAUUAUAUAAUGGCAUAAUUAUCAUUGAUUUUUGUGUUUAUUAUAUGCACUUGUAUGAUUAACAAUGCGAAAGAUUCAGGAUACCUUCGGGACCCGUCUUGAAACACGGACCAAGGAGUCUAACAUAUGUGCAAGUUAUUGGGAUAUAAACCUAAUAGCGUAAUUAACUUGACUAAUAAUGGGAUUAGUUUUUUAGCUAUUUAUAGCUAAUUAACACAAUCCCGGGGCGUUCUAUAUAGUUAUGUAUAAUGUAUAUUUAUAUUAUUUAUGCCUCUAACUGGAACGUACCUUGAGCAUAUAUGCUGUGACCCGAAAGAUGGUGAACUAUACUUGAUCAGGUUGAAGUCAGGGGAAACCCUGAUGGAAGACCGAAACAGUUCUGACGUGCAAAUCGAUUGUCAGAAUUGAGUAUAGGGGCGAAAGACCAAUCGAACCAUCUAGUAGCUGGUUCCUUCCGAAGUUUCCCUCAGGAUAGCUGGUGCAUUUUAAUAUUAUAUAAAAUAAUCUUAUCUGGUAAAGCGAAUGAUUAGAGGCCUUAGGGUCGAAACGAUCUUAACCUAUUCUCAAACUUUAAAUGGGUAAGAACCUUAACUUUCUUGAUAUGAAGUUCAAGGUUAUGAUAUAAUGUGCCCAGUGGGCCACUUUUGGUAAGCAGAACUGGCGCUGUGGGAUGAACCAAACGUAAUGUUACGGUGCCCAAAUUAACAACUCAUGCAGAUACCAUGAAAGGCGUUGGUUGCUUAAAACAGCAGGACGGUGAUCAUGGAAGUCGAAAUCCGCUAAGGAGUGUGUAACAACUCACCUGCCGAAGCAACUAGCCCUUAAAAUGGAUGGCGCUUAAGUUGUAUACCUAUACAUUACCGCUAAAGUAGAUGAUUUAUAUUACUUGUGAUAUAAAUUUUGAAACUUUAGUGAGUAGGAAGGUACAAUGGUAUGCGUAGAAGUGUUUGGCGUAAGCCUGCAUGGAGCUGCCAUUGGUACAGAUCUUGGUGGUAGUAGCAAAUAAUCGAAUGAGACCUUGGAGGACUGAAGUGGAGAAGGGUUUCGUGUGAACAGUGGUUGAUCACGAGUUAGUCGGUCCUAAGUUCAAGGCGAAAGCCGAAAAUUUUCAAGUAAAACAAAAAUGCCUAACUAUAUAAACAAAGCGAAUUAUAAUACACUUGAAUAAUUUUGAACGAAAGGGAAUACGGUUCCAAUUCCGUAACCUGUUGAGUAUCCGUUUGUUAUUAAAUAUGGGCCUCGUGCUCAUCCUGGCAACAGGAACGACCAUAAAGAAGCCGUCGAGAGAUAUCGGAAGAGUUUUCUUUUCUGUUUUAUAGCCGUACUACCAUGGAAGUCUUUCGCAGAGAGAUAUGGUAGAUGGGCUAGAAGAGCAUGACAUAUACUGUUGUGUCGAUAUUUUCUCCUCGGACCUUGAAAAUUUAUGGUGGGGACACGCAAACUUCUCAACAGGCCGUACCAAUAUCCGCAGCUGGUCUCCAAGGUGAAGAGUCUCUAGUCGAUAGAAUAAUGUAGGUAAGGGAAGUCGGCAAAUUAGAUCCGUAACUUCGGGAUAAGGAUUGGCUCUGAAGAUUGAGAUAGUCGGGCUUGAUUGGGAAACAAUAACAUGGUUUAUGUGCUCGUUCUGGGUAAAUAGAGUUUCUAGCAUUUAUGUUAGUUACUUGUUCCCCGGAUAGUUUAGUUACGUAGCCAAUUGUGGAACUUUCUUGCUAA
rnacentral:rRNA from 1 species